rnacentral:tRNA from 1 species
CUCCAGAUAGCCUUUUGGGUAAGGCUAUGGAUUGCCAAUCGGAAGACGGCGGGUUCGAUUCCCGUUCCGGUCG